rnacentral:rRNA from 1 species
UACGUAGGGCGCAAGCGUUGUCCGGAAUUAUUGGGCGUAAAGGGCGCGUAGGCGGCUGUACAAGUCACAGGUGAAAUCCCUCGGCUCAACUGAGGAACUGCCUUUGAAACUGUACGGCUUGAGGCCGGGAGGGGGUAGCGGAAUUCCCAAUGUAGCGGUGAAAUGCGUAGAUAUUGGGAGGAACACCAGUGGCGAAGGCGGCUACCUGGACCGGUUCUGACGCUGAGGCGCGAAAGCGUGGGUAGCAAACAGG